rnacentral:rRNA from 1 species
CUAUACAUGACUCUGCGCAUAUCAAUAAGCGGAGGAAAAGAAUCUAACAAGGAUUCCCCUAGUAACGGCGAGUGAAGCGGGAAGAGCUCAAAUUUGAAAUCUUAAAGGGUUUCCCUUUACGAAUUGUAGUUUAAAGAAGUGUUUUCUGUUGAGGUUUUGGUAAAAGUUCUUUGGAAUAGGACAUCAUAGAGGGUGAGAAUCCCGUAUUUGACCUUUACUUUCAACUUUGUGAUACACUUUCAAAGAGUCGGAUUGUUUGGGAAUGCAGUCCAAAAUGGGUGGUAAAUUUCAUCUAAAGCUAAAUAUUGGCGAGAGACCGAUAGCGAACAAGUACCGUGAGGGAAAGAUGAAAAGAACUUUGAAAAGAGAGUUAAACAGUACGUGAAAUUGUCAAAAGGGAAGCGUUUGACACCAGUGUUGUUUUUCUGAAAAUCAAUUAAAGAACUGUUUAUGCUAAGUUGUUUAGACUUUAUCAGCUAACUGUUUAGUUUUGAGCUUUUCUUUAAUGCACUUUUCAGUUAACAAGUCAACAUCAAUUUCCUUUGCUGUAAAAAAGCUUGAGGAAGGUGGCUUGAGAUUCGUCUUAAGUGUUUAUAGCCUCUUGCCUAUGCAGUCGGAGAGAUUGAGGUCUGCAGCGUAGAUCCUUCGGGGCUAAAUGCAUUUGUGCUAAGUUAUAGCAUUUUAUAGACAACUUGUUGACUAUGAUUUGUCUUGUAGCUUACUCGCUUAUGUUAUUCUACCUACGCUUAGGAUGUUGAGCGCAUGUCUCUCUCU